rnacentral:lncRNA from 1 species
UUUUUUUUUUUUUUUUUUUUUUUGUCUUUUGUCUUAAAUAAUUGUUAAGCCAUUUUAUAUUAGACAGUUGAGUGAUGUAACAAAAUACAUGAGAAAUGCUUACAUGACAGUUCUUUUUUUUUUUUUUUGUCUUUUUUCUAGGGCCGCUCCUACAGCAUAUGGAGGUUUCCAGGCUAGGGGUCUAACCGGAGCUGUAGCUGUCAGUCUAUGCCAGGGCCACAGCAACACAGGAUCUGAGCCGCAUCUGUGACCUACACCACAGCUGCCAGCAACGCCGGAUCCUUAACCCACUGAGCGAGGCCAGGGAUUGAACCCGAAACCUCAUGGUUCCUAGUCAGAGUCAUUUCUGCUGUGCCACAGUGGGAACUCCAAUACUCUGCAUUUUGAUACUCAGCUUAGAGGCUGAAAGCUGAGACUCUAGUGCCAGAAUACCUGGAUUUGCAUCCUAGUGCCACCAUUUAUUUGUGUGACCUUGAGCAAGUAACUUUGCCCCUCUAUACCUGAGUUUCCUUAACAAUACCUACCUCAUGAGAUUGUUUUGAGGAUUGAAGACAAAAUGGUUUAAUACACAUGUAAAACUGAGUACAGUUUCUAGCACGUGGCAAGUGGUAUUUUGUUACAUCAUUUUAGUAAGUUUUGGAAGCUCCUUUAAUAGAAGUAGCACUUUAAUGUGUUUUUAAUUAUGGGGAAAAGCACUCCUAACUGUUCUCAAUAAAAAUUCUGUAAGGAAAAUUAGUUGUAAACCUGUUGGCUGCAGGCAGGCUUUCCCUGAGUGACAAUAGCCAUGAACUAGCAGAGUAGCUAAGAUGGCAAUUCUAAGCCACUCAGCCUGGCUUGGAACCUCAACUCCAUCUGCAUGAUCUUGCAUUUGUGCAAGAUCCUUAACUUCUCUGUGCCUAUUUCCACAACUAAAAUAGGAUAACAAUAUUAUCUAUCUCAUAGAGCUGCCAUGAUGAUUAAAUUAACCAGCACAUGUUAACUGUUUAGAACAAUGCUUGAAACAGAUUAUGCACUCAAUAAAUGGUAGUCAUUAUUAUAGAUCAGUACUGCCACUGCUCAUCUCUGUCUUAAUUAGAGGAUGGUCUUUAAGAAAGGUAUAUAGUUUGCAUUGGCACUUCUUGUAAGAAUUGUGUUUGUGUGCACCCAGAACCUGUGAAGAACUGUCAACAUAGGUUUUUAGGAAAAUCAUUUUCAACCUUCUUUUUUAAACACCUCAACACAUCUGAAAAGUACAUUUCCAUCAGCAACAAUGGGCUCGGCCCAGAGUGACUCCCAAAAGUGUGUGUGUAGCAAAAGGGGCAGGGAGGAGAGUUAGAAAAAACUGCCCAGGAGUUCCCAUCAUGGCUCAGUGAUUAACAAAUCUGACUAGGAACCAUGAGGUUGCAGGUUUGAUCCCUGGCCUUGCUCAGUGGGUGAAGGAUCUGGCUUUGCCAUGAGCUGUGGUUUAGGUUGCAGAUGCAGGUCUGAUCACACGUUGCUGUGGCUCUGGCGUAGGCCAGCGGCCGCAGCUCCUAUUAGACCCCUAGUCUGGUAACCUCCAUAUGCCACGGGAGUGGCCCUAGAAAAGGCAAAAAGACAAAGAAGAAGAAAAAACUGCCCAGAUGAAAAUCUCAGUUAAAAACUUUUGGCACUAUUUUAGGACAGAUGAAAUAGUCUAUGCCGGUUCCAUUUUAUCCUAGCCUCUAAGGAGAUGCCUACCAACAAUCUAAAUUUAUUGGGAUUUUUUAUAGAAAAUGCAACUAAGUUCUUUGUACUAAAAUUUUAAUGUAAUAGAAUAAUCAGAAUUCUUACCAAACUACCAGGGGUGUGACUUUAUAAAUACAAAAAAUACAUAGGGUAGAUCAAGCUUUCCAUGGUUGUUAUAAUGUAAUUGUCAUCUACCUCUUGAGUGGUGAUUCUUAAACACACCCCCCCCCUUUUUUUGUCUUUUUAGGCCGCACCCACAGCAUAUGGAAGUUCCCAAGCUAGGGUUCAAAUCAGAGCUGCAGCUACUAGCCCCAGCCACAGCAAUGUCAGAUCCAAGUGUAUCUGCAACCUACACCACAGCUCGCAGCAAUGCUGGAUCCUUUAACCCUCUGAGCAAGGGCAGGGAUCAAACCCACAUCCUCAUGGGUGCUAGUCAGAUUCUUAACCUGCUGAGCUACAACAGAAACUGAUAGACCUUCAUUUUAUUUUAUUUUAUAUCACUUUAUUAUUACUAUUUUGUCUUUUUAGGGCCACACGCAUGGCACAUGGAAGUUCCCAGGCUAGGGGUCGAAUAGGAGUUAGAGCUGCCGACCUACACCUCAGCUAUAGCAAUGCAGGAUCUGAACCGAGCCUUCGACCUACAUCACAGCUCACGGCAACACUGGAUCCUUAACCCACUGAGCAAGGCCAGGGAUCGAACCCAAGUCCUCCUGGAUACUAGUUGGGUUGUUACCCCUGAGCCACCAUGAGAAUUCCUAUACCUUCAUUUUAAAUUAAUGCCUGCCAUGCCAACUCCUGUUCUUUUAUAGAAAUUAUAUAUUUAUAAUAAAAUUUUAUUAACUCUUGCUUGCCAUAACAAUAGAAAGAAUUUGAAUACAAAUAAAUUUUCUACCUUCAGAGCCAGCAGGGGCUGUUAGGGAAUGUUAGAUUUACAACAGGACUGUGAAGUGGACUGUGGUGAGCCUUCUCAGAGAUAUGCAAUGCUUUGGGAAAUAGAAGGGAAAGAGCACAUUCACUUGAAGCAAUAUAGUACAGCCAGCCCUCUGCAUCUUAGGCUUCUGCAUUGAGGAUUCAACCAACCUGUCAAAAGUAUCCUCCAGGGGAAAACAAAGUUACAGAAAAUUCAAAAAAUCAAAACUUGGAUUUGUCCCACACUGGAGACCACUUACAAAGUUUUACAUUGUAUUUGGUAGCAUAGGUAAUCUAGAGAUAGUGAUUAUAAGGAUGGGGAGAAUGUAUAUAGGUUAUAUGAAAAUACCAGACCAUUCUCUAUAAAGGACGUGAGCAUCCUCAGAUUUUGGUCUGACAAGGGUCCUGGAACCAGUCCUCCGCCUAUACUGAGGGAUGAUUAUAUGAUUAUGAGGAUCAUUUCUCUUUGCAGAUAUGAAAACCAAUUUCUAUUUAAUCUUAACAGUAUGUGGUCUGUAUGAGUUCCCUAGCAUUUUGGGGGAGGAAAGGUACAUCCUCCAAAAAUGUAAUUCGAAAAGACACAUGACCCAAAAGACACAGCAGCACUAUUCACAAGAGCCAAGAUUUGGAAAUAACCCAAGGGCCCAUGGAAUAUUACGCAGUCAUAAAAAGAACAGAUGCCAUUUUGCAGCAACCUGGAUAGAACUAGAGAUUACCAUACUAAGUGAAGUAAGUUUGACAGAGAAAGACAAAUACCAUAUGAUAUCACCUAUAGGAGGAAUCUAAAAUAUGACACAGAUGAACUUUUAUGAAACAGAAACAUUCACAGACAUGCAGAACAGACUUGUGGUUCCCAACAGGGAAAGGGGAGGGGAGGAAUGAAUUGAGAAUUUAGGGUUAGCAGAUGUAAACUAUUAUAUUAGGAUUCAUAAACAACAAGGUCCUACAGUAUAGCACAGGGAACUAUAUUCAAUAUUCUAUGAUAAACCAUAAUGGAAAAGAAUACUUUUUUUAAAAGUGUACAUAGAUGUACAGCUGAAUCACUGCUGUACAGCUGAAGUUAGCACAACAUUGUAAAUCAGCUACAUUUCAAUUUUAAACAGGGGGCAUCCUCUUGAAAUACUUGUCCUCCUUGUUCUCACUUUCUUGCCUACCUCCUUUGUCUUCAUUUCCAUCUCCUCUCCACACACCCUCAUAUUUGCCUGGUGGUACCCUUCUAUAUAGGGCAAGAGGAGAAGGGGGCCUGACCAUUGACAAAAAUACUCCCUUAAGGAAUAAAAUAACAUGGAAGAUCAUUUCUUUCCUGAAGGGUAUAGAUCCAUGCUAUAGAAUAGCCACUAGCCACGUGGCUAUUUAAAUUUAUAUUUAAAUGUAAAAUAAAAUUUAAAAUUCAGUCCCUUCAUUAUACUGAUGAUAUUUCAAGUGUCCAGUGUCACGUGUGCAUGGUGGCUUCCAUACAUUGGCUAUCACAAAGAGAACAUUUUCCUAUGGAAGAAAGUUCUGUUGGAUAGUGCUGGUGCAGUUCAUCUGUUUAUAAGGUCUGUUCUAUCAGAAUUAAGGAAUCAUAGGAGCCUCCUUUUAAAAGAUUAACCCUGGGGGAGUUCCCGUCAUGGCACAGUGGAAACAAAUCCGACUAGGAACCAUGAGAUUGCAGGUUCAAUCCCUGGCCUCGCUCAGUGGGUUAAGGAUCUGGCGUUGCUGUGAGCUGUGGUGUAGGUGGUGGCUAAAGCUCCCAUUAGACCCCUAGGCUGGGAGCCUCCAUAUGCAGCAGGUCUGGCC